rnacentral:lncRNA from 1 species
GAAUGGCGUCGGGGUUGGAGGGUUGGAAGGUCGGGAAGUGAAGGACUCGCAGGCAUAUUUAACAACGCAAAGUUGCUAGGAGUUGGUACCAGCGUUUGGGAGGUAGAGGUGGCGCUCAUGCAUAUUUGAGACAACAUCUGGAUGGUUGGGGAGAACGGUGAUGCCACACUCAAUCAGAAACUAUGCUACUGCUGAAGAGGUAUAUUGAGCCCUGCCUGGUUAACCUCCAGUGAGGUUAUUAGAGAAUUGGGAGAGGCUCAAAUCAGCAUCCUGCACCUAGUUAUCAAACCAUUGUGAAGUCUUGCAAGUUCAUCAGAGGGCGAGGAUGAAUUACGGUUGCCAUGAAUGUCCUUGUGAGGCAGUUGGGAAGCCUUGGCUGGAUUGUGAAGGAUAUUUGAAAAGUAUUUUAGAGUCCACCAGAUCAUCCAUGUGAGUGACCAUGCAGCAAAAGAAGGAGGGUCCUCUCAGUGAUUAAGGUAACAUAGUGAUUAAGGAUUAUGAAGUAUUAAUUCUUCCACUGAUAUCUCAAAAGGUGAUCUGGACAAAGGAACAGGUAUCUCAG